rnacentral:rRNA from 1 species
UACGGGGGGAGCAAGCGUUGUUCGGAAUUACUGGGCGUAAAGGGCUCGUAGGUGGCCAACUAAGUCAGACGUGAAAUCCCUCGGCUUAACCGGGGAACUGCGUCUGAUACUGGAUGGCUUGAGUUCGGGAGAGGGAUGCGGAAUUCCAGGUGUAGCGGUGAAAUGCGUAGAUAUCUGGAGGAACACCGGUGGCGAAGGCGGCAUCCUGGACCGGCACUGACACUGAGGAGCGAAAGCCAGGGGAGCAAACGGG